rnacentral:rRNA from 1 species
UACGUAGGGGGCAAGCGUUGUCCGGAAUUAUUGGGCGUAAAGAGCGCGUAGGCGGUCCGAUAAGUCGGCUGUGAAAGUCAUGGGCUCAACCCAUGAAAGCCGGCCGAUACUGUCGGACUAGAGUCCGGAAGAGGCAAGUGGAAUUCCCGGUGUAGCGGUGAAAUGCGCAGAUAUCGGGAGGAACACCAAUUGCGAAGGCAGCUUGCUGGGACGGUACUGACGCUGAGGCGCGAAAGCGUGGGGAGCAAACGGG